AGGGCACCACCAGGAGUGGAGCCUGCGGCUUAAUUUGACUCAACACGGGAAAACUCACCCGGCCCGGACACCGUAAGGAUUGACAGACUGAAAGCUCUUUCUUAAUUCGGGGGGGGGGGGUGCAUGGCCGUUCUUAGUUGGGGGAGCGAUUUGUCUGGUUAAUUCCGAUAACGAACGAAACUCUGGCCUAUUAAAUAGACGGUAUAUCUAGAAAAAGUAUACCGCGCUUCUUAGAGGGACAACCGGCGUCUCGCCGCGUGAAAAACAGCAAUAACAGGUCUGUGAUGCCCUUUGAUGUGCGGGGCUGCACGCGCGCUACACUGAAAGAAUCAGUAUGCGCCGUCGCCUAAGUCGGAAGAACCGGGUAACCCGAGCUAAUUCUUUCGUGGUUGGGAUAGGGAAUUGCAAUUAUUUCCCUUAAACGAGGAAUUCCCAGUAAAUGCGGGUCAUAAGCUCGCGUUGAUUACCUCCCUGCCCUUUGUACACACCGCCCGUCGCUACUACCGAUUGGAUGAAUUA
rnacentral:rRNA from 1 species